CAGAACAGCAACGCUUUGCAUGUGUGUGCAACACACACAAUAUUUGCCCCCAAAAAUAUGCUUAUUUCGUUUUCAGAGUUUAAUUUCUGUUUUUUAUUGUGUUUCCAGCGUAUUUUAAUGUAUGGGUGUUUGUUUAGCGGAGGUGGCUGAACGCCAGAGCCGAAGACUCUGGGAUCCCUGUUGAAAGUUAAUUGAAUACCGAUGAUCCCAGCUCCCAAUAAAGAUUGUGAAUUUUUUGUUCCUACUGAGAUAAAUGGACCGAGUCUUUAACCAUCACUUUUCCGCCCUUUUUGGAAUCUUUUUUGGAAUCUUUUAGAAUCGGGCGACCUCAGGCGGCUUUUCCCGUUUGGGUGUUGCCGGAUCGAUACUGCAUCCACGAUCGUGUGCAUCGCGCCAGCAGAUGGCUCAUUAUUUAUUUAAAUGUACGUUUUACGAAGUAUGACGUACAUGCUUUGUCUUCCCUACUGCACUUUUCUUUACCUUAUCGGCUUUGACCGGUUUGUAUUCCCUCCUGCUCUAUUCGCCGAGACCCUCUCUGGCCACAAUCUGCUAUGCCGCGAUCCCCUUCUCUUGCCGCGCCAGCAGGUCGGGUGGCGAUAUUUUUAACAUCAUUUACAAGGGGCUUCACCCUUCUGGUCUUCCGGUUCAUAAGAGCGAGCGUGCGCUCGAUGACGGUUGACCACUCAAGGCGUCCGACCGGCUGACAUCACGAACUCCCUGCCGGAUUCUGCGCGCGGGCCACGAUGCCUAGCGCCCCUCGGGACAUGGUGGCCCCCUUCCUGGCGUCCAACGAUGUGUUCUCCUCCUUUCGAGUCCGCUUGCCGUCGGUACCACCACUGAUGUGCUCCUGGCUGGACUGUGGCAGCCACUGGGUUUCCUGCUGUGGGCCAUAGCCCUGACGCAGCUGCUGUUUCACCGAGGAUCCCUGCAGCAGGGAUCAAAUCGACGAAGGAAGUGUGGGUUCACGCCCAUGGGAAAUGUCAGCAACCACCCCAUUCAUAUGCCGCCGCAUCAAACGCUGGGCUACAGCCUCGAGACGAAGAGGACUUAUCCACCCUACGCUUUGGGCCAAACCGAGUCAUAUACGAUUUCUUCCGCCAGACAGAGUCCUAUCAAAGCAUUACCGAGGCUUAUUCGAGAUAGACCGAGGUCUAUCCCAGCCAGGCCUAACCUAACAAGCUAUCGUCAUCCUUCGACCUGGCCAUCGACAACAAGGACUUUGACUAUGGUAACCAAGCGAGGAGCUACGCGGGAUGCUAGACUCUAGAUAGAUCUCGUUGUUGUUAGGUGUAAGAUAGAUAAAACUG